CCCUGAGUCGAUGUCCCACCCGGGAGGGCAGCAGGACAGCCUGGCAUCCCCUGCAGUGCCAAACCACUGCAGGUCCCUGACCCGCCAGCUGUGACAGUGCAGAUGUUUCCUGUCUCCCUGGAACUGCAAAGAGCCAUUUGGUGGCUGGAAGUGGUUCCUGGAAUGAAGCCGUGGAUUUGGGCUCCCAGAGAGCACCUGAGCUCCAGCGAGCGGGACGUGCCCGGGCAGUGCCCACCUCACCCUGUCCAGGAGCUGAGUGUUGCCAUCUCUUCUGGCUGAAGUCUGCAUUUAGGAAAUACAUAAAAGCCUCUUCUGUCCUGGGGACAACCUCCUGGCAAGGCUGGGUGAAAACCUGCUCCAUUUCUUUGCCUGAACAAUCUGCUGUGCAGCAAAGACACCAAAGAGCAGCUGUGAACACACAGGGCAAAGCUGUUGGGAAGCUGAGCUGGGCAGUCACAGCCCAGUGGGAAGGACACUUUGCUAAAUGGGACUUCUG